AUACGGAGGGUGCAAGCGUUAUCCGGAUUUAUUGGGUUUAAAGGGUGCGUAGGCGGUUUGAUAAGUCAGCGGUGAAAUAUUUCAGCUUAACUGGAAGGGUGCCGUUGAUACUGUCGAGCUUGAAUUUAGUUGCUGUGGGUGGAAUGUGUGGUGUAGCGGUGAAAUGCAUAGAUAUCACACAGAAUAUCGAUUGCGAAGGCAGCUCACAAAGCUAAUAUUGACGCUGAUGCACGAAAGUGUGGGGAUCAAACAGGAUUAGAUACCCUGGUAGUCCACACUGUAAACGAUGAUAACUCGCUGUCGGCGAUACAUAGUCGGUGGCCAAGCGAAAGCGAUAAGUUAUCCACCUGGGGAGUACGAUCGCAAGUGUGAAACUUAAAGGAAUUGACGGGG
rnacentral:rRNA from 1 species